rnacentral:rRNA from 1 species
GACGAAGGAUGCAAGCGUUAUCCGGAUUCAUUGGGUUUAAAGGGAGCGUAGGUGGUCUUGUAAGUCAGUGGUGAAAUCUGGCAGCUUAACUGUUAAAUUGCCAUUGAUACUGCAGGACUUGAGUACAGAUGCCGUUGGCGGAAUAUGACAUGUAGUGGUGAAAUACGUAGAGAUGUCAUAGAACACCGAUUGCGAAGGCAGCUGACGAAACUGUAACUGACACUGAGGCUCGAAAGUGUGGGGAUCAAACAGG